AUACAGGAGGUCCAUGUAGGACAAAAAAGAGAGAACGGAGAAUUCCCAAUCAACUCCCGUGCGGAGUUAUAAAGCAAACAUAAUAAAAGAAAGAAUUAGAAAUGAAAUAUUAAAAGGACAGAAGAUCUAAAAGGGGCUUUAAUCCCUAACGUUUCACUAGAAGGGAAUUGGAGAAAUAGUCACCGCUUCCAUCAACAUUCUUCAAAAAUUUCAAUCUGUCACUUCCGGUGAAAUUUCUUCAUGUUCAAAGACCAAGCAGUUCCGAGCUCUCCAAAUAUUCCAGCACACAAUUCCAACCAAGAGCAAGUUUUGUUGAUCACUUCCAGUUCCUGAUAGGUGAAUAAGCAGUGCAUAGUCGAUUCCUCUCCUAACUGACACCGGGGGAAAAUCACAGAUAUUCAUGGGAUUCGUCGCUAGAGGUUCAACAGGACAGGAAGUCUUCCAUGGAGGGCACGUCAGAGGAAGAAUUUGAUCUUCGGGAGUAAUCUCAUUUUCCACAAAUCUUUCCAAAUAUCACUACAUUGAGAUAUAGAUGGACAGAACUCAAUUGGUGGGUGGUGAAAAUGACUGCAUAGGAGCACAAUGGGGAUGAGGAGAUGGCAGCCAUGGAUCUACAUAAACACGGAUACUUCCCCCGGACCCUACCUUCCAGAGCAAGCCUUUCUUAAGAACUUUACGACCCUCUAGGAUGCUUCUCCAACCCCACGAAGAUUGAUUCAUACAACUACACCCACAUUAUUACAUCAAAUUGAAAUCCCAGUCGAUAGGGUUGCCAAGCAAAUCAAAAUCAUCCAAGGUUGAAAAACAUGGCUCAUCUAUUGCACCCUCAUCGACAAACUCGUUUUCCUCGCUUGGUGGUGGUGCAACUGCAGUAGAAGCAGAGGCAGAGGCAGAAGCAGAAACCGGAACUGAAUGAGAAAUGGGAAUGGGGUUAUCUCCUGGUGCCGCUGGGGCUGGGGGGUUACCGAUGAUGGGUGGAACACCGUGGCCGGUGGCGGCGAUAAUGGAGGGCUCUGCUUGGCGGAGGAGCCACUCAAUAGUCUCGCCGUCGCUCUUGUUGUUGAGCUCGCGAGUGAGUUGGAAGACAAAGGCGGCGCAUGCGAUGGACAGGCGGACACGGCGGUCUCGGCCUUCCACCUUGAUGUGGCGGUCCUUCCUGCGUCUGCUGGACAUGGCGGUGCUGAUUGCGUUGUUGUUGGCUGCUGCCAUGGGUGCAAUUUCCAUGGGUCUUUGGUUUUGGGCAGACAAAGGAGAAGAAGAAUAUGGAACACUGCUCUCAUUCUCAUUCUUCAUUGAAGUCAUUGUUUUCUCUCCUCUCUUUUGUGUUUCUCUGAAAGUUCUUCUGAUGGAUGCAGAUUAACUUGUGUUUUAGAGUCCUUAUUUAUAAGUCCAUCCUGAUUCCCCCUUUUCUUUCUAGAGGAAUCAUUUUUUACCUCUCAGACACUUGUUUAAUUUUCAUCACUUUUAAUUUAUGAUUAAAUAAUGA